UUCCCUUCCCUCGAAAUCCUCUUCCUCCUCUAAAUCUUCCCUUCCUUUUCUAUUUCUCCUUCUCUUCUCUCUUCGCUCCCUCUACUCUCUCCUCCCUUUCCUUCGAUCAUCUCCUUCUUUUUCUCUCUUCCCUCUCUCUUUCCUUGUCUCUUUACUUUCCUUUCUUCUUUCUCUCGCUUUCUCUCUCAUCUCCUCUCCUUCCCCUAAAACCCCUUUUCACUUCAGGAAUCCUAACCAACCCAUUUUCUCACUCUCCUCAAUUUCCCAAUCCCAGCACAAGCUCUUGCUAUCGAAAUCUCUGCUCCUUGCUGUUGUUUUCCUCCUUAGAUUUCAAGCACUUCGUUAUUGUGGAACUGCAGCUAUGAUUCUCGCUGAAUUGUCUGGAAACGUUACUGCUCGAUUCCUUGUUGAGGUGAAAAAGCGUAGUGUUGGUGCUAGUCGAUAUGGGAAUCAUAAUGGUAAUAAGUUAUCUGGAUUUUUGGCUCUUUUUCUUGGGAUGUUUCUGUUGUCAAUAAGUUGGGAUCGGAUUGAUUGUUUUCCAUUAUCAACUUCCUUCAUUGUUAGACAUGGAUUUUCGGUGUUUCCCAGGCAGAAUUGUUUUAGGAUUUCGCCCAUGUUGUUGCCGUUUUUAUCUGGGUUUUUGGGUUGUUAUGAACGUGUUUCAUUGAAUUCGGGUACAAUUAGGCAAUUGGGUCAGAAACGAAUUCGCUUGAUUUCAUUGUUUUAUACAACAGUUUUGCUGUUUAUUCCUG
rnacentral:misc_RNA from 1 species